rnacentral:rRNA from 1 species
CUGGCGGCGUGCCUAAUACAUGCAAGUCGAAUGGUAGUAGCAAUACAAACCAUGGCGAACGGGUGAGGUAACACGUAGGUAACCUGUCUUUAAGACGAGGAUAACCAUUGGAAACGAUGGAUAAUACUGGAUAGGACAUCAUAAAGGGCAUCCUUAGAUGUUUAAAGAUUAUAAUGUCACUUAGAGAGGGGCCUGCGGCGCAUUAGCUAGUUGGUGAGGUAAGAGCCCACCAAGGCGAUGAUGCGUAGCCGGACUGAGAGGUUGAACGGCCACAAUGGAACUGAGAACGGUCCAUACUCCUACGGGAGGCAGCAGUAGGGAAUUUUCGGCAAUGGGCGCAAGCCUGACCGAGCAACGCCGCGUGAACGAAGAAGUUAUUCGUAAUGUAAAGUUCUUUUAUCUGGGAAGAAAAAACAAAUUGACGGUACCAGAUGAAUAAGCUCCGGCUAACUACGUGCCAGCCGCAGC